UCUUUGUAAACAAAGUGCCUCAUGCUCCCAGGUUACCAAAUACAUUUAAAAUUUUUCAGUUUCUAAUGAAAUCAUAGGUACCAUUAUGGCUUAUGGAAAUGGAAUGCUUGUGUGAUGAUCACCUUUAAUGUAUUCACUUGAUACAUUUAAGAAACAAAUACUUAAAUUUGUGUUAUGUUUCCUUAAAAAUUCUGCCCCCAUAAAAACAGAUCAUAGUAAUCCUCCCAACUACCAAAAAAUGGGUUGGGGUGGGGAGGAAUGAGUGAAAAUAUAGCAGUCAUAAUAAUUUUCUCAAAGUACAGAUACUGAAGUUCAAGUCCAAUAAUAAAAGGAGAGGCUUUGUAUCCCAGAGUGUUUGAUCAUCAGGUUCCUGUUUCAUCACAGACUAGAAGUAGCAAAAUUAAGAUCAAAGAAACUAGCAAAUGUUCAAAAAGGAGAACAGAAUGGAGCCAUUUAAUGCAGAAACAUUUGGCAGCACCACAUCUAAAAAUCUGUAUAUUGCAAACAUUAAUAUGCUACACAAAGAUGACAUUCCCAGCAGUCUUCCCCAAUUCAAAAACAGCACCCAAGGCUAACAUUUAUUUCAGCUCAGGAUAAUUAUUUAUUCCCCUAAAAACUGUUCUAUAUACUCUGGAAGAAGGCAGAGAAGCGUGCAUUUCAUUUAAGAAGAAGAUAACAUUCAGUUGGUCAGAGUGCAGCCUUAUAACACCAAGGUUAUGGGUUUGGAUCCCCAUACCAGCCAGCUGACCC